GAUCCUGGCUCAGGACGAACGCUGGCGGCGUGCCUAACACAUGCAAGUCGAACGGAAGCAAAGAUUUCGGUUUUUGCUUUAGUGGCGAACGGGUGAGUAACGCGUGAGGAACCUGCCUUUCAGUGGGGGACAACAGUUGGAAACGACUGCUAAUACCGCAUAAUGCUUUUUGAUGGCAUCAUUGAAAAGCCAAAGAUUUAUUGCUGAAAGAUGGCCUCGCGUCUGAUUAGCUAGUUGGUGGGGUAACGG
rnacentral:rRNA from 1 species